CACGUAGGGCGCAAGCGUUGUCCGGAAUUAUUGGGCGUAAAGAGCUCGUAGGCGGUUUGUUGCGUCGGCUGUGAAAUCCCGAGGCUCAACCUCGGGUCUGCAGUCGAUACGAGCAGACUAGAGUGUUGCAGGGGAGACUGGAAUUCCUGGUGUAGCGGUGAAAUGCGCAGAUAUCAGGAGGAACACCGGUGGCGAAGGCGGGUCUCUGGGCAACAACUGACGCUGAGGAGCGAAAGCGUGGGGAGCGAACAGG
rnacentral:rRNA from 1 species